UGCUCUUCCGCGACGGCCGGCCCGACGGCAUCGUGGCGCGACAGCGGGCCCUGACGUAAGUGAGGGGCCGCCGUAAACGGGGCUUGUCGUAAACGGGGCCCCGACGGAAGAGAAGCUGGGAAAGCAGCGCCGCUUAAGGGCCGCGAGGGAUGCGGAGGGGGAGGAUCACCUGCGUAAGCGGGCCCUGCGGCUGCCCUUCACCUUGGCCACAGGGGAGGCCAUCCUGUAUGAGAGCAGCCUCCCUGGCCCCCUGACUGCCCUCCCAGCCAGCAAGAGGACCAGGGCAAGGCAGGGUGCCCCCACUGGCCAGGACCCUGUGUGCCCAGCCUCUCUUCUUGGAGCCGUGGUGCAGGAUGGAUCCACGUACUUGGCCUGCAUUCCACCAACCCCUCAAGGAUCACUCUUGGAGAGGUGGGGGUCUCAUGACAAACGUGAGGACAAGGAGGAGGAAGACAGCUCCCUCCUGACCCUCGAGAGCCUGCUGGAGAAGGACAUGGAAGAAGAGCCCAGUCUCUGCUCCACUCUCCAGCACCUGGGCGUCGCCAACCUCCACCAGCGUCAGUGGGGACAGGCCUUUCUCAGGGCUGACGCAGACCCUGCAGGGCCUCAGAACUGCUGCCUGCUGCCACCCAGCCGGGGAAGGAGCCUCUCCAGCAAGAGGGAGGUGCUUUCUCACAGCAGUGAGAAUGUGUGCUCAUCCCUACCAGCCUGCACAACUGCUCCACAGACCCUGAAGCCACUGUCUUCUCUGGACACGGGCCAGCUAACCAUGCCCUUAACCAUGGAAGUAAGUCCACUGCAGGAUGGGGACACAGUGCCCAGCUGCCCUCAAGCACACACUCAGCACUUUCCCACCUCUGGCCCUGCCCUCCAGAGCCCUCUGCAGUGGCAGCUUGGGCACAGCCCGGCAGCGCCUCUGAAUUGGGGGGUGUGCAAGAAACCAACAGUAUUUGGCUUUGUCCCACCGCCCAAGCCCCUGUCUCACAGCCAGUCGGCCCAGCUCUUUCAGCCAAGCCACACACCUUCACUCCCUUUAGGAGGAACUAUCCCUGGACACCUGGCCCUGCCGGGCCGUGGGAAUCUGGAUUUCUGUGAGGAGUCCACGCACCGGGCACCUGCACGGAGUGAUCACUGUCAGGAGCCCCUCAUUGCCUCAGACCACACGUCCUUUGUCAACCCAUAUGGCACCUGUUCCUUGGACAGCAUUUGGGGUUUCCACAUCCAGGGCCAGCCAGAAGUGGUCCCUGGGCAAGUUGGGGCAGGGAAGGAGGCAGGACAGGCCCCACCUGACCGUUUCAGCCGCGCAUGGUCCACCAUGGCUGACCCCUGCCUUCUGUGGACAGGGCCAGCCAGUGACAUUCCUCCCAACUUGUGCAGGGGUCGGCCCCUAUCUGUGUACGGGGCCUUGGGUUCACCACAGCACACACCUGGGAGCCAAGAGCAGCCACCCCACGCCCUCUCAGGGAGCCCUGCCUGUCCGUCCCAGGUGCUUCCACAUGGACCCUUGGCUACUCGGGACUCUUAUGGUGCAGACUCAGGCCCAGUCACCAAGCAACAGCAGUGGGUGCAGAUGGGGCUGCAGACCCAGGGAACUUGCAAGCAAGUGAGAGAGGGGAUACCAAGUGUCCAGCAGCUGGGUGGCUGUGUGAGAGCUGCCAUUCCCCAAGCCCCACAGUUGAGCCCCCUCCUGUCCUCAGAGAGCAUCUCUCCCGGCACAGGAAGCAGCCAGGGCAACAGCCCCGCUGAGCCAACAAGGCAAAGCAAGAACAGACUGGCCGUGCCAGCACCAUGUGCUGUGGGCAGACAGCAGGUGCAGUCUAGCCCAGCCCUGCCUCCCUGCCCUCCUGUUCCUGCCUGGCCACCCCCAUCCACGCAGGGUGGCCACAACUUCCAGCAGUGUCACCAAAACAAAGUACAUCGCACCACGGCACUUAGGGUUCCAGGCCCAAAAGGGAGCUCGUCUUCCUCCAAAUUCUGA
rnacentral:lncRNA from 1 species